rnacentral:misc_RNA from 1 species
GAUUUCUAUGGAUUUUGGUGAUAAAAUUUAAAGUUUAGGACGUUUGAUUAUUAUCAUUAUAAGUUUAGUAGAUAAAAUUUAAAAUUCUCAAAAUUAAUUUUGGGUUUUGGCUAUAAUUGCACCCAUGUGUAAGAUAGGGAUACUUAAUCCAAAAUUGAAACAUUUGAAUAAUAUCGUUCCCAAAUUAUUGCAGUAACUUUGUGGGACCCAUAAAAUAAGUAAAUAUUAUUAAAAAAUUCUAAACAUUUAAACUCAAAUUUAAUUAAAAAAAAAGACCAAAUUGAAAAAGAAAACCAAGAAAAUUUUCUAGAAAAUCCCAUCUUCGUGAACUCUGCAAAACCUAGGAGCCAUUUUUCUUGGUAAAUGAUAACUUCAUUGCAACAAGUGAUUGUAGCAGGAGCAAAAUAUAAACAUUCCUUCAAUUCAAAUCCUAAAUCAGCCAAAUAAUAUAUCUAACACAAUAAUAAGAAGGCUAGAAACAAAAGAACCCUAAUCUAUGCUCAGAUACUGAAGAAGGAGGUUGCUUUAUCAAACCUAAUCAAGGUGAGGAGGAAAAAGAAGCCUCCUUGAUUUGAUAACUUCUUGAGCCAUCUUCGAUGCCUAGAUUAGAUGUCAUUGAUUUUCCUCCUUCCAAAUUCAAGAUAUCCUUGAAGAACAACAGCUGUGGACAUCUUUAGCAUCUGAAGAUCUUGAUAGAUUUAGAUUCAAAUAGUAGAAAACCCACUAAGGGGUAUACAAAUUUCCAACUCUAGAGAAGAUAAAGAUUAUUCUAAGAUUAGACAAAGAUAACCUCAACCAAAGCAAAGCGAUAGUUAUCAAAGGCUCAAGGUGCACCAGGCGCCAAGGUGUCCUGGAGCCUAGGCGGUGUCCUGGAGCCUAGGUGUAAGGCACAGGCGCGCUCCUGAGGUGCAAAAAUAAAAAUAAAAAAUAAA